UGAGCUCAAGUGAUCCUCCCACCUUAACCUCCCAAAUAGCUAGGACUACAGUGCUGGCUAGAACCUGAAGUACAAUGUGGAAUAGAAAUGAGGCUUCCUGCAUUUCCUGGUCCAUGUCCUUCACCCUCCAUCUUUCAAAGCCAGCAAAGACCAGCAAUGUUUUGAAAAACACACAUAAUCCUUGGAUAAACAAGAAAAGAUGAUGAAUUGUAAGAAGAUAGUAAACUGUGGCCAAAGGCAAAAUCUUCUAUUAUCUAGCUAAAUGACCUCGAGCAAGUCUCUCCACCUCAGUUUCUUCGUCUCUAAAAUGUGGAAGGUUGAACUGACCACAGGUGAUCAGUGGUUUUCAAACUUUAAAAAAAAAUCCUUUCUUAAAAGUGUUUUCCAUGAAGUCUAAUAUUUAAAAAGAAUAAAAUAAAAUCUGAUCUGGUCCAGUAGAAGUAGG
rnacentral:lncRNA from 1 species